rnacentral:rRNA from 1 species
AUGGAAUCCCACAUUACCAUGGGACGCAUUGGAGAAGUCUACAACAAGGAUCUUAAGGACACUAUCUAUCAGAUAUGUGGGCGCCGAGAUGAGCAAUGGGAGAUGAUCAGCACCAAGAAGGACAUGUCCAUUGUAGCUUUCAUCCAGGAGUUAAGCCAGCACAUUCGACGCCAGGAGAAUCAGAUGUGCGCAGACAUGAUAAAUUUGAAGAAGGCGAAGACAAGGAUCAUCGAGCUGGAAGAAGAACUCAAGUCUACGCGCGAUGGAUAUGAGGGGGAAAUUGCAACACUAUUGGAGAAGAACGAUGACCUGAUAAAGAAAAUCGGAGUAUUCAUGGGAGACCCCAGGCCGGGAGGAGAGGACGACGAUUCCACUUGCCUGGAGAACUACAUCAUCAUCGACGACACCGACUCCGACCCCAGUGUUGAUGACUUGGAAGACGAAGCUGGAGCAGACAUCAUGGAGUCUUCCACCGAUCAAAAUUUCUAG